rnacentral:misc_RNA from 1 species
AAGUCGUAACAAGGUUUCCGUAGGUGAACCUGCGGAAGGAUCAUUAACACGUAUCCAAACGUUAAAACCCCCCCCGUGAACCUUCAUCCUGCUCUUGUAACCCGCGUAGUUCGCAAUCUCUGAUAAAUCAUAGCCCGGAAAGUUGUAGUGAUUCAGAGACCUCUGGCUACGUGCGAACAUUGGAACAGUUACAAUCGAGCGGUAGUUCUAUAGGCAAUGUUUCCCCAAGCAGUCAGUGUCGGAAAAGACCGUACACUCGGGCAGGAGCUUUGCCAAAGGGCCCCCAUGCCCCCUAAUAACCCCACAGUUUAAUGUGAAGCUCAAUGUAAUACAUUGGGUAAAAAAACCGAACAACUGUUAACAAUGGAUAUCUUGGUUCUC